rnacentral:rRNA from 1 species
GAGUUUGAUCGUGGCUCAGAUUGAACGCUGGCGGCAUGCUUUACACAUGCAAGUCGAACGGCAGCACGGGGGCUUGCUCCUGGUGGCGAGUGGCGAACGGGUGGGUAAUGCAUCGGAACGUGUCCUGUAGAGGGGGAUAGCUCGGCGAAAGCCGGAUUAAUACCGCAUGAGAUCUACGGAUGAAAGCGGGGGAUCUUCGGACCUCGCGCUAUAGGGGCGGCCGAUGUCAGAUUAGCUAGUUGGUGGGGUAAAGGCCUACCAAGGCGACGAUCUGUAGCUGGUCUGAGAGGACGACCAGCCACACUGGGACUGAGACACGGCCCAGACUCCUACGGGAGGCAGCAGUGGGGAAUAUUGGACAAUGGGGGCAACCCUGAUCCAGCAAUGCCGCGUGAGUGAAGAAGGCCUGGU